rnacentral:rRNA from 1 species
GUGCUAAGGUAGCAUAAUAAUUUGUCUCUUAAUUUGAGAAUAGUAUGAAUGAAAAAACGAUAAGAAAACUGUCUCACCGCAAACCAUAAAAAUUUAUAAGGAGGUGAAAAAGCCCCUAUAAUUUAAAAAGACAAAAAGACCCUAGAAACUUAUAAAUAAUUAUUAUAUAUUUAAUAAAGUUUUUUAGCUGGGAGGGCGUAAAGUAUAUAAAACACUUUAAAUUUAAUAGAGCCUAAUCACCUUUAAUCAACCCUAAUAAGAAUAUAAGUAAGCUACUCUAGGGGUAACAGGCUAAUACUCCUUAAGAGUACAUAUUGACAGGAGUGUUUGGCACCUCGAUGUUGGCUUAGGAAACUUAUUUUAUGCAGAAGUAAAAUAAAGGGGUUUGUUCAACCUAUAUCAUCCUACAUGAUCUGAG